AACAAAAGUAACCAGGAGAACAAGCUUUAGAGAUGAUAAAAGCUCAGUAUCUUGGCAACCUUUUGUGUUGGGUUAUUUUUAAAAAAUGGAUAAUAUUGUGCUCUAGUUCUAAUUUAUUCAGCUAUUUGCUGAGUGAUAGCAACAUUACAACUACAGAAUCUGUAUGUCAUCUUGACAUUCACCCAUAUAAUUGGAAGAAGGAAAGAAAGCGGGCAGACAAAAAGAAGAAAGAACAGAGAAGAAUUUUGGAAAAAUAUGGAACUGUAAGAUGAUGCAUUCUACAUAUGAUUUAUGUAAGAGGGAGAAUUUAAAACUUCAGUUAAACCCAAAGAAAAUGUUGCAUGUUGACAUUUCUGUAUCAAAAUAUUGGCAAAUAAAUGGAUAUGCAUGUGAUUUAAGUUAAAAUAAAAAUGUUUAAGUAUUGUAUGUAUCAUAUUUAUUGGAUGCACUGUAAAACCAAUUUUGAUGUUUACCACUAUUUUUCCUUUUACUAUGGUAUUUAUGAAUAUAUAUUUAUUUGUGGCUCAGAAGAAUUUAAGACGGUCAAAGUUGCUGCAAAACAA
rnacentral:lncRNA from 1 species